UCACCUCUCAUUUUCGUGAUUUUUGCAAUUUGAAUAAACAAUUGGAAAUUGCAUAGUCACAAAAGUGAUGGGUGC
rfam:Daphnia magna strain Xinb3 scaffold02486, whole genome shotgun sequence.